UACGUAGGCAGCGAGCGUUGUUCGGAGUUACUGGGCGUAAAGGGUGUGUAGGCGGUUCAGUAAGUCUGGUGUGAAAUCUCCCGGCUCAACUGGGAGGGUGCGCCGGAAACUGCCAAACUAGAGUGCGGGAGAGGAAAGUGGAAUUCCUGGUGUAGCGGUGAAAUGCGUAGAUAUCAGGAGGAACACCGGUGGUGUAGACGGCUUUCUGGACCGUAACUGACGCUGAAACACGAAAGCGUGGGUAGCAAACAGG
rnacentral:rRNA from 1 species